CAUGCAAGUCGAGCGGUCGCACAGAGAGCUUGCUCUCGGGUGACGAGCGGCGGACGGGUGAGUAAUGUCUGGGAAACUGCCUGAUGGAGGGGGAUAACUACUGGAAACGGUAGCUAAUACCGCAUAACGUCGCAAGACCAAAGUGGGGGACCUUCGGGCCUCAUGCCAUCAGAUGUGCCCAGAUGGGAUUAGCUAGUAGGUGGGGUAACGGCUCACCUAGGCGACGAUCCCUAGCUGGUCUGAGAGGAUGACCAGCCACACUGGAACUGAGACACGGUCCAGACUCCUACGGGAGGCAGCAGUGGGGAAUAUUGCACAAUGGGCGCAAGCCUGAUGCAGCCAUGCCGCGUGUGUGAAGAAGGCCUUCGGGUUGUAAAGCACUUUCAGCGGGGAGGAAGGCGGUAAGGUUAAUACCUUUGUUGAUUGACGUUACCCGCAGAAGAAGCACCGGCUAACUCCGUGCCAGCAGCCGCGGUAAUACGGAGGGUGCAAGCGUUAAUCGGAAUUACUGGGCGUAAAGCGCACGCAGGCGGUCUGUCAAGUCGGAUGUGAAAUCCCCGGGCUCAACCUGGGAACUGCAUUUGAAACUGGCAGGCUAGAGUCUUGUAGAGGGGGGUAGAAUUCCAGGUGUAGCGGUGAAAUGCGUAGAGAUCUGGAGGAAUACCGGUGGCGAAGGCGGCCCCCUGGACAAAGACUGACGCUCAGGUGCGAAAGCGUGGGGAGCAAACAGGAUUAGAUACCCUGGUAGUCCACGCCGUAAACGAUGUCGAUUUGGAGGUUGUGCCCUUGAGGCGUGGCUUCCGGAGCUAACGCGUUAAGUCGACCGCCUGGGGAGUACGGCCGCAAGGUUAAAACUCAAAUGAAUUGACGGGGGCCCGCACAAGCGGUGGAGCAUGUGGUUUAAUUCGAUGCAACGCGAAGAACCUUACCUGGUCUUGACAUCCACAGAACUUUCCAGAGAUGGAUUGGUGCCUUCGGGAACUGUGAGACAGGUGCUGCAUGGCUGUCGUCAGCUCGUGUUGUGAAAUGUUGGGUUAAGUCCCGCAACGAGCGCAACCCUUAUCCUUUGUUGCCAGCGGUCCGGCCGGGAACUCAAAGGAGACUGCCAGUGAUAAACUGGAGGAAGGUGGGGAUGACGUCAAGUCAUCAUGGCCCUUACGACCAGGGCUACACACGUGCUACAAUGGCACAUACAAAGAGAAGCGACCUCGCGAGAGCAAGCGGACCUCAUAAAGUACGUCGUAGUCCGGAUUGGAGUCUGCAACUCGACUCCAUGAAGUCGGAAUCGCUAGUAAUCGUAGAUCAGAAUGCUACGGUGAAUACGUUCCCGGGCCUUGUACACACCGCCCGUCACACCAUGGGAGUGGGUUGCAAAAGAAGUAGGUAGCUUAACCUUCGGGAGGGCGCUUACCACUUUGUGAUUCAUGACUGGGGUGAAGUCG
rnacentral:rRNA from 1 species